rnacentral:lncRNA from 1 species
CGCGGUCCUCUCUGAACUCUCCGUUCCCUCUCUCAGUCUGUGUUGCACAGCGUGGGCGGGCCCCUCUCUCAGUGUUGACCGGCGUCUGGCGGGAGUUAUUCUGACUUCAGGCUCCUCCUCAACACCAGCGCAGGAUGGAGCCUUACUCACCACUCCGCGCAGCGUGAAAAUAAUGCACGCGCCGCCUGGCACACAGAAGGCCCUGGACGCAGGGCACCCAGGAGAGAGACUGACACCGAGCCCCAGUGGAGGUGACACGGGAGCUGAAUCAGGGUCUUAAGGCUAACGAGGUACCUUCGAGGGAGUUCAGGCCAUGAGGACCAGGGAGGUGGAGAAACAGCAGAAAGGGGAGGGACAAGGGGACCGUCCUAGCCUGGUGUCGUGGCUCCCCCGGGCCCACGUACCUUGCCCUCGUGGCAGCGCUCGGCCGCGCUCACCGACCUGGCCUUGAUGACCAGCAGCACGAAGAGAGGCUCCAGGAAGCCGGCGGCGGGUAAGGCCACGAGGUUGCUGCCCACGAGCUAAGGAGCUGUGCCCCCAACUGUCCUCGUUGGCCCCGCCCCUCACCCAGGCUACGCCCCAACGGCGCAGCCCACAACCCGAGUGUCCAUCCUCUCCCUCCGCUCCAGCCCCGGAGAAGGGAAGCUGAGUCCUGUACACUGGGAACAUCAGGACGGUGACCAGCAUGGCGCCCGAGAACAGGCAUAGCGACAGGACCUACAGCAUGAAGACACGGAAAUUGCGAAACCUGCUGGCCUGGGUGGGAGACUCAUGGGAAUGUGAAGAAGAGGCCACUAAGGACGAGCAGCAGCACGACACUGAAGGCAGCGAACAGGCUCAGGAGCAUCCAGGGAAGUGGGUCCUGAGGUCUGCCACCCCGCAAGAGAGCGGCAUGGCAGCACCUCCAGUGCCCAUAGGCGCCCUUGCCGAUACUGGCUCCAGGAGCCCUAUGUCGACAGCGACUGUUGAAGACAUAUUGAGCGCCCAAGCCACAGCCCAGGUUGGAAGGCAGAAGUCCCAGUGUGACAUCACCGAGGCUGAGGAGAAUGUGGGCUAGGGGCUCUGCAGCCUGUGACCAGCACUUCCAACGGCAACGCCCGCCACCCCCACUGGCUGGGGACUGAGAGGUCCUGCCCCUGCCAGUAUGUGAGUGAGCUGCCUUUCCCAGAAAGUCAAGGUCCAGACAUCAAGAUUCAGCCUCACAAAGCCAAAAGCAGGCUGAAGAUGAAAACUAACCAGAAAAGUCCAGUUGGUCAAGGAAAAAGAAAUUCAGUCUUCAAGGCCCAACACAGGCUGGCAGGAAGGCCCUAACCUGCAUGGCCACAGGCUCCCACCCACCUACAUAAAACCCCAGCACAUGCUCUCCUUCCCCUACCUAAAACCCUAGAGAAAAACCUACCUUUUUCCCUUCAAGGAGGUGGAUCUGAGUUCUAACUCCCAUCUCCUCCUCUUUCAAUACUAAAGGUCUUUUCUUGCCACAA